CUUUCUUUCUGUGGAGACGGAAGAUGUGCAAAGCAUGUUGAAGAAUACAUGCAUUCCAGAGAUCCAGACAUAAGAAGAAGAACCUGAGGCUGGAGCCUACCUCUCCUGCUGACUGUGAAUGAAAAAUGCAGUAUACUCUGCUGCAAGUCCAUCUGCUCUUGAACUUCAUAAAUACCUUCGAAAAGAUCUUUCUGACAGUGUUUUCCAACACCAUUUAUGAAAGCUUGAAAGCGGUAUUAUUCACGUGUUUCAGAUAAGAGAGCUGAAUUGUCAAGGUAGCAACUGAUUUGAGAAUGGCCAGUUUUCUCCAAGAGAGGAGCACAUGGAGGGAUCUGGAGGAAGGUCCAGUGCUUACCAGGGAUUUCACUGAACUCAACAAGCUCCGAAACAUAGGAGUGAGAAGAAAUCUGCACAAAGGAAGAGGUGCCCAGUGGAGUAUGCUAUCUCAUUGGAGAGCACAGUAGUAAAAAUUCUCCAUAAAAUUGUAGCUAUUUGCUUCUGUAGGAUUUUGUUUAUUAGUAAAAGAUUAGAUGGUGUAAGGCAAAUAAACAGGGAGUCCAUAAAUGACUACAAGUGUUUCAGUUGCUUCUUUGGCAUUGUCUUAAUUGUUACAACAAAGAAUGCAAGAUGACAAAAAAUGACCACCUUUCUGCUCAGAAGAUAAGGUGCCUUUAAAAAGAAAGGAAUGAAACCCAGCUCUAUCAUUUAUUUCUAGCAUCCCAGUUAAUUAAAAUGGACAUGACUGGAGAAGCACAAACACCUGAGCAGUUCUCGAGACAUUUCUUUGGCAUGUUCUUACUGACUUCAAGCCCCUACUGCCAACCACAGUGUUUGCUCAUCCUGUUGCAGCACCCUUCAAACCAGCCUUCCCCGAAGGAUGCAGCAGACAUGGUCUGGGAGAAGAGUUGAGCACAAGCUGGCAAGCAUUCGCUGCAGGGACUUCUAAGUGCUGUGGGAUUUAGUCAAACAGCAAAGUACAAGCUUCUACUAUGACUCAUCUGGUGUAAAACUAGUGCUAAGUAUUGUACAUAAUUAAGACAACAUUAUUACAGUGAGAUAGCACUUCUUUUUUUGGCAUGGUUAAAGUCUUGAAAAGGUGUAACGUUUUCAGCCUUCAGAGCUGUGAAGAAGAUGAAGAGUUCUGAUGGGAGUUCAUUCUAAAAGAUGGCUACAGUGAGUUUAAAUCAUAAUUUGCGCUAUCCCUGAAGCUCUGCAUGUGUGUUUCAGUUUCCUUCAUGAAAGGUUGUGGUUUUUGUGAGAAUAAACACAACCUCAAGGUGGUAUUCAUUAGAUGACCUGCAACAACGGCCUCCCAAGACAUUCCAAGGAUUUGCCGGGUUUAAUGCCCACAAAUCAUCUUUUUACUUUUGAGCCACGUUUCUUAAAAAGGUACUACUGGUAUUUCAAGUAACAGACGCAAAAGUUAUAUUUACCGUUGAAUGCAAUAGCAAAUGUUGGCAACAGUAGUGUCAGAGACCUAUAGAUCCAACAUUUGAGCACCAACAGUCAGCAGGUAUGGAAUGGCAGUAUUAGUCAGACAGUGGCCCUACCUAUGGGAAAAGUUGAACAAGUAGGUCAUUGCAAUUUGCCUUCUUGCCCCAACUUUUUCUUUCAGUGGUCCACAAAUCACCUUUGCCUUUUAUGAAUGCGUAUAUUCUUGAUUAAAGUUUAUUUUGGUAUAAUGCAAACAAACUCAGCUUAUUGGUUGCUCAAAAGCCAUUUAUUCAGCUUACUUGCUUCUCAUUAGCCUUAACUACUCUUCAUGGUGCUGUGAUAUUUUUUCUGUUCAUUGAUUAGCUGACUUGCAAGCAAGAGGUGGGAAACCAGACUGCAAGAUGGUGACAUGGACCAUUGUAAGAGACAGGACUUUGAAUGACAUUUCCGUCUGUGUAGUACAGUGGAUGCCUUUGAAGCAUGUUUAUGCUCUUUCUUGAAAAUACAUUGGCCACUUCUUCAACCUAACGUUACCAUAACUUUUCUUAUUGUUUUCUAACAUGCUGCUUGUACCCCAUUUUCAUGCACAUCUCCAAAGAAUUAUCCAAGUUACAGGGACUACAAACUUUCAGGAGGAAUCCCAGAAUAUCCACCAUCAACAACCCAACCAGUUGUGAAGUUUUACAAUCCACAUUUGAACCUACUUCUCAAAAUGUUGCACACUUCCUUAAAUAAGCAAUUACUCAGCUCAUUUGCACAAAGAUAAGGUCAAUCUUGGGACAGAAAGAUGGAUCAACAGCCUGCUUUGGCAACCACCUUUGAAACGAGUCAAGAAGCAGUUGCACUAGAGACUUGUUAAACUGCAACAUCGUGUUGCAGAAAUGCAACAUCAACAGGCAGCUUCAGUAUUUCUGUACAAACAGAUAUUGUACAGCCUUGAUUUGGUUGAGCUGAGCCCAUUACAGGAUUUAGGCAUAUGCCUAAAGAUGGAAUUACUUACAUGACUGAAGUUAAGACGUGCUUAAGUGUUUUGUUGUGUAUGGGCCUACACACUACAUCUGUGUUUGUAUUAAGAGGAAAAGCUGUUCUACAAGACAUUUGGGCAUUUUAAAAUGUAUUUUUGUUCUUAACUGGAACAGGAAGUUUUACACUGAAAUGAAAUUUAGGAAAUCUUUAGUUCCAGAAAUCUCGUAAUUGAACGUACUUGAAACACUGUGUGUCAGUAAUAUUGAAACGCUUAGUGACAUUAAGAUUGAAACAUUGCAUGUCCACAUAUGUUACUAAAUUAAUUAGAACCAACUGUCAACUAAGCAUGCUGGGAUUGCCUGGGCUGUGUAUUACCACCCCCUGGAUGCAGGAAGAGCCCUGGUCUGAUCUAGCUUCUUGGCUGAGGUGCAAUGCUCCGUGUGAACACUGUUGUCCAGCUUAGCACUAAAACAAGGAUAUUCAUCUGUGUGUGAUGUAGAGCUGGAUGCACUAAACCCUGCUCAUCCCAAAUGGCUUUGUGUAGGGACAGCUCAAGUGUCUUGUACCAGGUCUUUGACACUAACGCUUCAGGGACACAGGGAACAGACCCUGUGCUUGUGCUUGGAGGUGGAUUGGGUCUUCCUUGGCUUAGCCAUUCUGGCCUGGAUGUCUCCAGGAUGACUCCGUGCUGUCCAGAAGCCAUGGUAGUUUGAGCACAGCAGAAGUGGAUGACCGUCCUUUGCAUCUGAUGCUGUACGUGACAAGGAAUUGCCUCUGGAGUUGAGGGCUGCAGCUCUUCAGCAGCCAGUCUGGGUGCAGGGCUGAGCGGCAGCUGCUCAAACUCAGGCUGAUCUUGUUCCCUUCCCUGAGCUCUCCAAACCUGUCCUGCUAUAGACAUCCCAGUACCUAGAGACUGCAGCCUGGCUGCAACCUUAAAAGUUGAAAUGACUGAAUCAAAGCCGAGCAUGUUUUGGUAACUUCUUACUGACUGUUUUGCUAUAAUCAAUUGUCAUGUUCUUGAAAAUGUUUCAGUGUGGUGGAAUCGGCAUUCACUAUAAGGAGACUGAUGCAUUGGGAAAAAUUCAAGCAGUUCUAAUCUGCUCUACUCUGCCUGGAGCCUUGGUGAGGCAGGGCACUGUAGGAAGAGGAACAUGAACAUCUGGGAGACAAGUACUGAUGCAGAGAAAGGAAGAAGACAGACUUGAUCAUCUAAGAAAGGGUUCAAGUUCCCGAGUGAAGCUCUAAGAAGGCAAGAGAGAGGUAAUGUUGUAGUAUUAUUAUAUG